AAUCCAAAAAACCCUCAUUUUCUCUCCUCCUCCCUUUCUUUCUCCCCAUAAAAAAACUCUGGAACAUCUUAACCCUUUUCUUUCUUCCUAAAUCCUUUCUCUUCUCUUAAAAAUAAAACUCUGGAACAGAGUGUUUGCGCUGCCACCACAACCACCGUCCUCCUCGCUCACUCACUUCCUAUUUCUCCCUCCUUUUGCGCUACCACCACAGUCACCGUCCUCCUCCACCUCCAAUCGAUGACCUUCAGCCAUCCUAGCCACGAGCCUCCUCCAAUCGACGACCAUUAGCCACCUCCACAGAGGUUGCCAAACAGCCCCAACCCAAACACCCUUUUAAACUAGCCUAGCCUAGCCUAGCCUUGGGGUGUAAUUUGUUCUAAAAGACGAGGGGAGACUGGUUAAAAGAAAGAUAGUUACGAUUAAGAAAACUCGCCGGCCGUCCUCUGAGAUGGAAAAAUCAGAAACCCGAGAGACUCCGAUUUGCAGGAAACGGCCUCUUAGGAGCAGGACUGUGGAUACCCUUCUUCGUAUCCUCUCACUCUGCUCUGAUCCUCUCAUCCAGAAUUCAUACUCAGAUAAGUCCAUAAGAACCGAUGAUUGCACUGGUAGCAUACCUAAUGAGUCCCUAUUUCAAGAACAAACGUCUAUGGAUGAAACCCAAGUGGUUAUGGAUACCCAAAAAGACGGUUCAUAUAAUAAACACGUGGAAUCACCAAAACAUGAUCCUAACAUAUCAGGAGAAAAGAAGGACCUUUCUCAAAAAGUCAACACCAAUCCUUCAGUCAAUGUUGAUAUAAAAAGUCAUGAUAAUUACGAUAUGAUUUGUUCUUCUCCUCAUUUACCCACAAAUGAAGAUGCUGAAGAAGGAGAAAUUGCUAGAGAUUUUAUGGAUGUCAUGCCCGAAAUCGAUACAAAAUCUGUGGGCGAGACUGGGACUAAUCCCGAGCCUCGAGAUUCUAUAUGCACCAAAACAGGACUUAAAGAUGACAGUAAUAUAACCCCGUUAUUUACAGAAGCAGUUAAAGAUGGUGGUAUAGAUGCGGCGGGAGUAGUAAAUAAAACCACAAGAAAUUUGGUGGAUUAUUCUGAAAUAGCUGUUCAUGCGAAAUCCCACGAGUCUGUAAAGCAAGCAACUUUAAAAGUCAAUGCAACCAAGAAUCAGGAUCAAGUACACCUGGUGAAGGACAGUGGUGCCCAGAAUAAUAAAAAGAGGCAGGGAUUGUGCAUGCAAGAAGAAAGAAGAAACAAAAAGUCAAAGAAGUCUGUUGACCCGACAAUCUGUCCUGAAAAUAUAACAUUGUUUGGUGAACACCUCCAAAAUGCCUCUCAAGAAGUUGUUGCUUCCGUAAACAAGGAUGCCUGUAACGAGAAGAAAAAGAAGCGGGUUGUGACCAAGGAAAGAAAAGCAAAGAAAAAGAUCAAGGAUAGAAUUAAACGAGCUGAAAAGAGGUUAAAACUUGGUGUCAAGAGGUUGAAACUUCAACCGGUGGUUAAAGAGAAAAAAAUAACAUAUUGUCGUCACUAUAUGAAUGGAAGAUGCCAUGAGGGUGAGAAGUGUAAAUUCUCUCAUGAUACCACCCCUUUAACAAAAUCCAAGCCAUGUUGUCAUUUUGCACGUCACGCUUGUAUGAAAGGUGAUGAUUGUCCAUUCGAUCACGAACUAUCCAAAUAUCCCUGCAAUAAUUAUCAAACAACGGGUUCUUGCAAUCGAGGUUCAGAUUGUAUGUUUUCUCACGAGAUACAACCGAGUGAAGACUCCUUAAAUGAGUCAAAGCCCGAACAAAAACCUCCUUCAAACUCCGGUUCUAAAAAAGUAGAAACAAAAUCUUGUUCCGUACCCAAAUUUGUUGAUAUUACACCAAAAUCUACCCACCCACCAAAAGGUAUAAACUUUCUUUCACAAGAAAAGUUGCCACUAGUAUCCCGACCACCGAAAGGUAUAAGCUUCCUUUCACAAGAAAAGUUAACACCAGAAUCCCGCCUGGCUCCUAAGGUAGAUUCUGAGGUCAAGGAAAUUACCAAAACACCCCCGCUGCUCCAAGAUUCCGAAGAAAAAACGAAAGUUCCCCCAGUGGUACUGCUACAUGAUUCUGAAGAAAUUACCAAAACGCCCACUGUAGUUCCGCGUGGUAUUAACUUUCUGUCGUUUGGUAAAAAACCUGGUUUGGAUUACUCAAAUGGUGGAUAUUCUUUAAGAAUUAGCAACAGAGUUGAAAAGUCUCGGUUAAGUAAUGUAGCAGGUGAGGGUUUAACGCCUGGUUCAACGACAAAUGUGGUGAACGAAGUCAAAGUUGACCGUUCAACAGAUGGACCGAGUUCUUCAAAAAAACCAAUGCCGAUGAUAUCAUUCAUGUCAAGUACAUCACAAAAAGCACUCCGGUCAACUUUGGCUUUUGCAUGUGAGUUAGACUCGGGUGUAAAGUCAAAAGUUUGACCAUUAUCUGCCAUGAAGAUUGCGAAAUGGAAUACAACUUGCUCAAAGAUUGAUAAAAGUUUUAUUUUUGGGCUACAAUUUUGUGUAAAUAGACCGACUGCGACUGAUUUUAGUUAUUUUUACAACUGAACUGUCAUGCAGUCAGAAACUGAUGUUAAAUCCUCCAAGAAUGAUCGGUUUGGAACAAGUUGCGUUUUAUCUGGUCCCAUUAGUUAGCUCGGUAUUAUCGGGCUUUGUGAGUUUUCUGGUAAUGGGUUGUCACAGUUAUAAAAAGAAAUAUAAUCAGUUUGAGAUAAACAAUUUUAAAUUGCUUAUGGAAACAACUUGUUUCACCAUCAAACAAGUUGAUAGCUA